UACGUAGGGUGCAAGCGUUAAUCGGAAUUACUGGGCGUAAAGCGUGCGCAGGCGGUGAUGUAAGACAGGUGUGAAAUCCCUCGGCUUAACCGGGGAACUGCGUCUGAUACUGGAUGGCUUGAGUGUGGGAGAGGGAUGCGGAAUUCCAGGUGUAGCGGUGAAAUGCGUAGAUAUCUGGAGGAACACCGGUGGCGAAGGCGGCAUCCUGGACCAUUACUGACACUGAAAAGCGAAAGCCAGGGGAGCAAACGGG
rnacentral:rRNA from 1 species